rnacentral:rRNA from 1 species
CCUACGGGAGGCAGCAGUGGGGAAUAUUGCACAAUGGGGGAAACCCUGAUGCAGCGACGCCGCGUGAGUGAGGAAGUAUUUCGGUAUGUAAAGCUCUAUCAGCAGGGAAGAAAAUGAUGGUACUUGAUGAAUAAGCAGCGGCUAACUACGUGCCAGCAGCCGCGGUAAUACGAAGGGGGCAAGCGUUAUCCGGAUUUACUGGGGGUAAAGGGAGCGUCGACGGCUAAGCAAGUCAGAAGUGAAAACCCAGGGCUCAACCUUCGGACUGCUUUUGAAACUGAGUAGCUAGAGUGCAGGAGAGGUAAGCGGAAUUCCUAGGGUAGCGGUGAAAUGCGUAGAUAUUAGGAGGAACACCAGUGGCGAAGGCGGCUUACUGGACUGUAACUGACGUUGAGGCUCGAAAGCGUGGGGAGCAAACAGGAUUAGAUACCCUGGUAGUC